AAUAAAUAUAGUUUUGCAUUGUUCAUGUCCAACGCUUGACCACUCGUCUCAUUUAAAAUUUUUUUAUGAUUAGUAUUUUUGUUAUUAUUAGAUGAUAAAACAUGAAUAUUAUUUUAUAUGUGACUAUUUUUUAUUUUUAAAAAUAAGAUGGAUAGUCAAACAUUGGACAAAGAAACCCACGGAUGCGCUUAUU
rfam:Oryza glaberrima chromosome 8 Oglab08_0007_20, whole genome shotgun sequence.